UUUUGGUGGGUGAAAAUGGAUGGGUGCAGAAAAACCUCCACCUGGAGCUUGUUUUAAAUGUGACAAAACUGCCUUUCACUUCAGCUGCUGUCAAGUCUCUGUCCAGACUGUGGACAUCCAGGACAUUGGGGAAUUAAUUGUCCUGCUUUGCCUAGACUUCUGUCCCCUUUCUAUGCUAUUACUACCCUGGACGUUCGGAGGUUCAGAGUUUCAGCACUGAUAAAUGGAGUUCUGAUGAACCGACAAAGCACCGACUACUUACUAUUCAAUCACAAGUUCAAGAUUUUAAAUUUCCUCUGCUUGUCUUCUAAGUAUAGACUUAAAGGUGUGUCUCAUCUGGCUAAAACCAGGCUCUCUAGACAUAGGAAAAAUAUUCAUGCCUUUUAACCCAAAACUGUAGCUUUUGCAAUGACACCAAGGUGUAAAUCUGUUCCAGCUGUUUGUCAGACACCUGCAUGUUCCUGGGGAAAGAGUUCUGCUACUGUGUCAACAAAUCUGGCCUGGUGGAAACUAUUAUUGGGUCAUUCUACCAAUUGUCUGAAGAACUUUGCCAAUACAACCAGGGCACACCUCCAUUCCACUCUUUCUGGCAGUCUCCACUCUUCCCGUGGCUAGCCCCUUUCACAGGACAAGUGGUAAUAAUCUGGGUUUUUCUCCUAGCAACUUGCCUUCUUGCUUCUUCCGGGAACAGAUUUAUGAGGUCUCUAGGGAGACAGUUAACUGAAUGCUUCUUCACCCAUACCUCCCACUGAGCACAAACCCAACUCCCAACUCCCCUCUCCCCACAUCGUCCCAUGCCAACAGGAAGUAGCCAAAUUUGAACAGGCGCUCAUAUACCCACAGAGGUUGGGAUGUUUGGUUGGAACCUCCAGCUCACCCCUGCAUGAUCCAGAAAGUUCCAUUUCUGCCUCUCUCCCUCCAAACCCUGCCCUCCCAGAGAAUCUCCAACAAAGAAAAGGUGCCAGUUCUGCAUUCCUGGUGACUAGGGCAACUUCCUCCCCUGUUGCCGCCAGCUGCCCAAGUCCCCAUCUAAGCAUUCUAGCUUUUGACCAGACUUGGGCACAAACCCAGCUUGUGGUGGACACAUUAUCACCCCUCACCUGCAGGCUUUAUAAUCUCUGUGCUUUAGCUUGGCGUGUGGCUUCUUGAGCCUCUCCAGUCUCUCUGGGACUGGAGAACCUGCCCAGGAGUUGCCUUGCUCAAAUAAACCUGUUGUUACACUUUUUCAAUUCAGCUUGAUCUGACUUACUGUGUGAGUGAAGAAACCUGUUAUCAGGGGACAGAAAACCUAUCCCUCAUCUCUUUUGUGAAAGUUCUUGAAUGACCAUGGGACUGAAAGUUUGUCAGCAGUUCCUCCCUCCCCUCCCCCCCUUUAUCUCACCCACCUCCGGGGCCUUAUGUAUACCAACCUAGCCUCAAACCUUCAACCUUCUUAUUUCCAUCUCCUGAGUUCUGGAAUGAUAUGUGUGUCCCACAACACUAGGCUAGCCAUAAUGCUAGCUUCUUCGCAGCUUUAUCAACACAUUAUUAUCAAUCUUAAAUUAUGGCUGUCCUAGUGAAUGUGAUGGUCAUGAUUUGCAUUUCCUUGAUAGCUAACACACAAUCCUUAAGAAAAAUUAUAUAAGGGAAAGAAACAGGGGGAAACACUACAUAUUUUAAACAACAACACAAGUCCCUCAGUCAAAUCUUAUUUAGAACUAACUUACACGCUUUUGUCCAGAGUAAAUGUCCGCAUCGGAAGGGAACGCUUGUAGAUCACUUCCACAAAAUUCACACUUGAGUGCUAGCUCUUCUUCGUCCUUCAGAGAGAGGGAGAGAAAGAGAAAGAAAGUGAAGAAGUGCCCCAAGGCCCAGCGGCUCAGGUGGAACUGGUUGUGGACAGUGGACGUCUAGUAGGACAACAAAGGCAAUGGGGACGUGCUAAUUUAUCUGAGAACACUUGCCACAGAAGUACUGGGUGGGGAACUUUUAAGGGUCUGAGAUCUUCUAGCUGAUGGGAUCAAGCCAGCAAGAUCUGUAUAGUCCAGCGCGUGACAUCACUUCCACUCAAGGGCCAGAAGGGAGUAAGGAGCCCGAGAUGCAUUUUGAAUGCUGCUUUCUGGUACAAUUCAGAAGAGCAGAGCUAAGAGCCUUGGAGCUGUGCAAGUGUAAGAAGAAAGCUGCAGAAAUGAUGACCGCAGAGUCCUCUGGAAGGGACAGAAAUACAUAGUUUGUAGCUACAGGUAGUUACAAAAUAGUCUUGGGUGUUUGGAUAUGUUGACUUUUCCUGUAAGUACUAGUAAGAAGAAGCCUUGCAUUACUGCAUAGGUGUUCGCUACUUUUAUGUCUCUGAGAAAGAAUACCUGAUAGAAACCAUUUAAACAAAGGAAUUUCUUCUGGCUCCUGAUUUGAGGACAGUCUAUCAUGGCAGUGAGGGUGUGGUGGUAGUAGUAGCUUGUGGCUGUGGCCACAGGAAUGUGAAGUGGCUGGUACAUCACCUUAGCAGUUAGGAAGCAGAGUCUAGGGCCUGAAUGGGACAGGCUAUAUGACCCACAAGACCCACUCCUAGUGACCCAUUUCCUCCAACAAGGCUCCACCUCAUAAAGAUUCCACAACUUUCUGAAACAGCAUCUCUAGCAGGGAGAGCUCACAUUCAUCAUGUACAAUUGCCAACUUUUAUAAUCAACCAGAAUCUGUCCUUCAGGGGAACCCCUGCUUGGAGUUCUGAACUCCACUGGGCAAUCCAGGAAGGCAAGAAGCAGGUGACUGGAAACAGACACAACUGAAGUCAGGGUGGCUUCGGUAAUUCCCUGAGGGGCUCCUGAAGUAAGGACAUGUUGGUAAUUUGUUACACCUAUGAUUGUAGGGGAUCCUGGCCAGGUAAGUAGCUGAGUCUCAGAAAAAUCCUCUAGGAAGAGAUUCAGAUAUGCCUUUCAGAUCAUAAACAGCAUUAGCACAUCUGUAUUUGCCAUCUAAACUAUCCUCUGAGACAGGCCAAGUACCCAGUUAUAAGGGUGACUGAGCUAGUUAGUGCAGUUAGGGAUUGGCCACUUGAGUAAAGACAUUUAGAUCUACAGGCAGUGGAGAGAUGCAGGGGAAAAGUCCAGGGCCAUUAUGAAAUGAUGACUCUUUCUAUACAAGAGAUUUGGUAGUACAUCCCUUGGCUCAUGAUUCUUUUGUUCCUUCGCCUGAGAAUGAAGCAAAAUGGAGAUUCUCUGAAAGACCACGAGUGGCACUGGAAUCUUCACAUGAGGAAGGUAUGGAGAGGACAGUUAGAUACACCAGCUGCUACCACUCCUGAAUACAACUAAUGUUAAUGCUACCUGCAAUGUCUGCCUCCAGAGCCAGAGGAUCCAGCCUUGCCCAGGUCGGGACAUCUCCCUGGAGAAGAAGCCACAAGGCCUUUCUUAUGGUCAAGCCCAUCUCUGCAAGUCAGAGGAAGACCAUAACCCCACUAGCUCAAGAGACUUCUCUGGAUAUAAGCCCUUCCGACUCAGAGGAAGGAAAGUGCUCUGUUCAGACAGGGUUUCACUGUAUAUCUUUGGCUGGCCUUGAACUCACAAAGAUCUGCUUGCCUCUGCUUUGUGAGUACUGAGAUUAAAGUAACAUUGAACAUGACCUGUGAAUCAAAUCAAUUCUUUGGAACGUCUUCCUUCCUGAAAGUCCUCAGAUUUGAGAUCCGUGAGGGACACUGAGGAGGACUGACCUUUUGGUUCUGAAGGGACUGUGUCCUGGAAUAGGCAAAGAACUCCUCUGUGGGGGCCACUUGGGCAAGCCUCUGAGGCAAUGCUGUUUAUCUAACCUUCCUGAGAGACGAGCUGCAGGGACUACCAGGGAAGCCACGUGAGAGGGAAAUCCCUCGACAUUUACUGUGUCUCCGUCAUCGUCACAGUGCAGAAGCUAACGAAAAUGAAUCCAUCCUUCAUUGAAGUGGCCUUGCCUUCCUGAAUCUUCCACCAAAGACUGUUUAUGGAAUCUUUAGGUGGAAGAUAAAUGAGGAUGGCCAGAGAAUUCACUUUGGGCAGAGCAUAGUUGGUAGGAAUGAAUCCUGCUUUGCCUGGGAUGUUUUGAUUACCUUCACAAAGGCUAAUCCAAGCCUUAGUAUUUCCUUUUUCACGGGCAAGGGAAUGGGGGCCCAUGGAGACAAAGGGACGGCUACAAAAGUCAGGGAGGUCCCAAACUUGUCAUUUCCAUCUGUGUCUUAUUGUUCCAUUGCUGUGAAGAGACACCAUGACCAAGGCAACUCUUACAAAAGAAAUCAUCUAACUGGGGGCUGGCUUACAGUUUUAGAGGGUUACUCCAUGAUCAUCAUGGUGGGAAGUUGGCACACAUGGCACUGGAGCAGUGGCUGAGAGCUUUACAUCCUGAUCUUCAGGGAGAGAGAGAGGGAGAGAAGGAGAGAGGGAGGGAGGAAGAUGGAGAGAGAGAGAGAGAGAGAGAGAGAGAGAGAGAGAGAGAGAGAGAUUGGGCCUGACAAGGACUUCUGAAAUCUCAAAGCCCAUCUCCACUGACACACUUCCUUCAACAAAGCCACAUCUAGGCCACACCUCCUAAUCCUAAUCUUUCUCGAACAGUUCCACUUCCUGAUGACUAAGCAUUCAAAUAUGUGAGCCUAUGGAGGGGGGGGGGGGGCAUUCUCACUCAAACCACCACAAUCAGCCUUCUGAAGUUUACACCAUUUCAAUGAGAAUAGCAGUAAGGCAUUGAAAAUAGAAGUUGAGGCCGGGCGGUGGUGGCGCACGCCUUUAAUCCCAGCACUCGGGAGGCAGAGCCAGGCGGAUCUCUGUGAGUUCGAGGCCAGCCUGGUCUCCAAAGCGAGUUCCAGGAAAGGCGCAAAGCUACACAGAGAAACCCUGUCUCGAAAAACCA